rnacentral:rRNA from 1 species
UACGUAGGCAGCGAGCGUUGUUCGGAGUUACUGGGCGUAAAGCGUGCGUAGGCGGUGUCUUAAGUUUGUUGUGAAAUCUCCCGGCUUAACCGGGAGGGUGCGGCGAAUACUGAGAUGCUGGAGUGCCGGAGAGGUAAGCGGAUUCCUGGUGUAGCGGUGAAAUGCGUAGAUAUCAGGAGGAACACCUGCGGUGUAGACGGCUUACUGGACGGUAACUGACGCUGAGGCACGAAAGCGUGGGUAGCAAACAGG